rnacentral:rRNA from 1 species
CCCUUAGAUGUUCUGGGCCGCACGCGCGCUACACUGAUACGUUCAACGAGUUUAUAACCUUGAUUGAUAGGUCUGGGUAAUCUUUUGAAUGCGUAUCGUGCUAGGGAUAGAUUAUUGCAAUUAUUAAUCAUGAACGAGGAAUUCCUAGUAAGUGCAAGUCAACAGCUUGCGUUGAUUACGUCCCUGCCCUUUGUACACACCGCCCGUCGCUACUACUGAUUGGAUGUUUAAGCGAGGUUCUCGAACUGCUAGUGACUGAUCUUCGGUGAGGUCGCAGUGUGGGAAGUGAACCUAGCUUUGGUGUCUAGAGGAAGUAAAAGUCGUAACA